UACUCGAGUGGCGAACGGGUGAGUAACACGUGGGUGAUCUGCCCUGCACUUCGGGAUAAGCUUGGGAAACUGGGUCUAAUACCGGAUAGGAACCAUCUUUAGUGUGGUGUUGGAAAGUUUUUUCGGUGUAGGAUGAGCUCGCGGCCUAUCAGCUUGUUGGUGGGGUAAUGGCCUACCAAGGCGGCGACGGGUAGCUGGCCUGAGAGGGUGUACGGCCACAUUGGGACUGAGAUACGGCCCAG
rnacentral:rRNA from 1 species